AUGCCUUAUGAUGAGCGGUACACACCGUACAUCAAGCAGGCAAGACUACUCCCGUGGAUUCUGUUGGUCAGCCGGUCCACGCCGAAUCUGAACGCUCCACUGGUGUCCUCUCUUGUUGAUCGGUGGAGGCGGGAGACCCACAAUUUCUAUCUUCGGACCGGGGAGAUGACCGUGACGCUCGAGGAUGUCUCGUUGAUCACCGGUCUUGGUAUCGACGGGAGGCCUCUCUGUAUGAGCACCGAUUCUGAUGGGUGGCGCGAGCAGAUGAUUGCUCUUAUCGGUAUGGCUCCUACCGAGGCUGAGGAUGAUGUAGAGGAGGGAGAAGAUAAGAAGAAGAGAGAAAGGAAAGCAGCCGGAGCUGCUUUCACGUGGAUUCAUAAGCAUAGUUCAUAA
rnacentral:rRNA from 1 species